UAAAAUUGAUUUUUAACUUCAUAUGACCAUUAUUUACGGAAUUGUCAUAGUCAAACUUGAUUUUUAGCCAUUUCCAACAUGUAUGUCAAAUAUUAGCCGAUUUUAAAAUUUUGAAAUUUUGUAAAAAUUCUUAAAUUGACUAAUAUUUGACAUUCAUAUUGGAGAUGAAUAAAAAUUAAAACCUCAUCAUGUUAAGCUCUUAUGCGACCUGUUGCUAUCUCUUAUGGACGCUAUAAGAGGUAUUAACCCGAUUUUUGAAGAACAUUGAGAUCCAAACGACUCCUAAGCUCAAUUCAUCCAUAUUACAUUACAUACAUAACACAUCAACUUAAAUCUUACACAUUUUUAAAAAUAUUUGAAAUGUUAUGUAAUUGUUUAAAAAAAUUAGACAUAAGACUUCUCCAAAUUUCAGUUAUUCACUCAUGUGCAAGUGAAAGACACACAACACAAUCAAAUAUAUUAUCUAAAGAUUCAACGAAAAAAAAUCAAAUCGAACUCAUCACGAUCAUCAAACCGAACAACCCAACAACCAUCGAUCCGACCCGAUUAGGCCCGGACGAGCCCACAGCAGAGGUCGUUGCAUUCACCACGCCCUCUGCGGUCUGAGUAGUGUUGUUGAUGGCGGUGGACGCCGUGUUCGCUAUAUCUGUGGCUGCCUGUUGAGUAUUGUUUGCAGUGGAGGUAGCGGCAUUAACCGCAUUUUCCGCCGCAUGUUGUGCAUCUUCGGUGGUAUUCUUCGCCUCACCAACGGCAUUACCCGCCUGGUUGACCAGUCCCUGCGCUGCAUCGAACGGGUUUUCUUCCGCCCGGACGAUGGAGAAGAUCAACAUUAGGCAUAAGAGCAUCAAGAGGGGAAGAGAUUUUUCCAUGAUUAGCAAAUUAGUUGAUUAACUAUGUAAUAUUUUUUUUGUAAUGUAAUGUGAUUAAGGAUGAGGGUGGUGAUGGUGGGGAGGGGGGGAGGGGGGGGGGGAUUUUCCCCUUGAAUUGCACAAAGAAUAAACAAUUGAUUUGUAAUUUUUAUAUAUAUUUACUUUGUAAUUGUGGUUGAGAUGUAUUUGUUUGGUUGGUGGUUGUCUUUCUUUGAGCUAUUUAGUGAUUAGGGGAUUUAGACUAAUUCAAUUUGAGAGAUCUUUAUUAUAUUAUUUUUUUCAUAAAUCCAAUGUUUUUUAUUUUCUUAAAACUAGUUGAGUGGAAUUUCAUCGUUAACCGCAACUUAUAAGUUAAUUCUUCAACAUCAGCCGAUUCAGACGUUCAUUUAAUUUCACCUAAGUUUUAUUCAAGUGAUGGGUAGACCAUCCAUAUACAUGUCCGUAAGUAGUGACAAAAAAAAAAAAAAAUACAUGUCCGUAAGUAGUGACAAUUUCCCUAUAAAAACACGCUUUUGAUAUGGCUUCAAUGAAUUUUACUCAAUAGACAUGCGUUAAUCGUUACUAUUGAAAAUGCUCAAACUGAAAUCAUUUUAAGUUAAUAUAAUUACAUAUCACAAUUUUUUUUAAACUAUAUAUCAAUAAUAAUAUUGUGAGAUGUACAACUUAAAAGUACUUAAUUUAAUUAAUUCGUUCAUCGGUAUAGACUGAUUGAUGAAUUAACCAACAAAUCAAAAUGAAUAAUUGAAUUUUGAUUUUAAUCCAAUCAAUCUGAUUAAUAAUUAUUUUUUACUUUAUUGCCAAUAUAUAUAAGAGCUUAUUUUGUUAAAAUUUAUGGAUUUAAAUAAAUUAGCUAACAUAAAUAGUUAAAAUACGUUUAUUGCCACCUCACUCAAUUCUCCCCACCCCGCCACGUGCCAAACAAAGGCAAAGGCGGGAAAUUUAAACGGCCAUUAAAAAAAAAGCAUAUAAAAAACAAUUUGAGCCGCGAAAAUUUUCAAAUUUCUCGUUCUUCGUCUAUUCGAUCUCUCUGCAUAGAAAAAUGGAAGAUCCUUUCGCGUCCAUCGCUGCAAUCUUCGGUGUCUCAACUACACAGGAAUCUCAAUUCUCCUCUUCCGAUCAGAACUCAGGCGACGACCUAGGUCCGGGUGAGCUAUCGUCUGGAUCCGACGCGACAGAGUCGGAGACUGACCACGGCGGCGACGAUUAUGUCUUCCAUACGCCUCUAGAAGCUUCCUUCAGCGUUUCGGACAACGAAGCCUUCCAUACGCCGGCUCGAGCUUCUUACAGCCUGCCUAGUUCACAGGAGGUGGCGCAACCAGAAGAGAUCAUCAACGGCGCCCACAUUCGGCUUGAUGAUCAGAUGGAGGAGAGCGUUGGAGACAGUGAAGAUACCGUGCUGAUCUCCGUCCACAGUGAAGUUACCGCGCCGAUCUCCGUCGGAAGUGAAGAUACCGUGCCGAACUCCGUCGACAGUGAAGAUACCGUGCCGAUCUCCGUCGAUUUGGAGGCGGAAGCAGAUCACUCUUCAUGCGUUGGUGAUUCCCAGGUGGAUUUUCCAGAUGGCGUCGAUCGGGCUCCUGAAAACGAGGUAAUUCACUGUGAAUCUGUUCGAUAUAAGGUUUCGGAAGUGGAAUCUGUUCUGAUCGAGAAAUCCCUGGUAGUAAUAGAUCUGAGCUGAAUGAAUCUACGAGAAUCAUUAGAUUGAAAGAAUCGUUGCAAAAAUUGCAGUCUCUGUCUGAAAAACGGGAUAACUGGAUGACCAAUUCGAAGCUAGAGAAUCGAAAUGCUAGCUUGGACAACGUAAACUGUAUGGAUUGCGAGGAGAAAUUGUUCAUAAGUUCCGGCAUGAAUAUGAUUCUUCCAGAUGCUACAAUUGAUUGUUAUGAACUUAAAGAAACAGUUCAGAAGAACAGUAAGUUCGAUGAUGAACUACUUCACGGUGGAAAGAGGAAGCGAGCGGAGUUGUGCUAUAAAGAGGAAAUGGAAUCCGAUUAUUCUGAAGAAAUCGUUCCAGCUUUGGAGUAUAAUCUUGAUUCCUUAGAACACACUGAUGAGUUCAAUCAAGCUUGCAACAAUGGAGAAGAUGCUGAUACUGUAGACAAGCACAUACUGCCUGUAAACGACACCAAGCCAGCGAAGAAACCUCGGGUUAGGGUGCGUUUCAUAGCUCUGGACGUCCUGAAAAUGCUGGCACAACAAGAGAGUGAUCACCACCACCACUGUCCCAGAUUCGAAGCCACAAGCGCCGCGGAAAUCGCGCCUUCUAUUACAACAGCUAGUGCUCUAUUGGCCCUAUCUACUAGUAGUAGUUGAUAAGCCUAAUUAGAAUUUGAAUUCAAUAUAAGAGUUCUUAGGGCCUUUCUCCUUUUGUUGGCUUUUCUCCAAAUGCCAAUGAUAGGCAUUUGAAAUCAUAUUGGUAGCCUUAGAUCUUGAACGAGCUUACUCGAAUAUGGAGGCAUAUUAUCUCAUAUCGAUAUAUGGUUUAAUUGCAUGAGAAUAAUUUUUUAAGAAAUUAUGUAUGACGGAUAGACUAUCAUAAUUGAGCAAUUUGUGAGGUUUGAAAUCACGUUGAUACUUAAUAGUUCUAGAGAACUAUUUCCUUAUUUCACAGGUAGACCAAGUGACUCGAGCAUGGAAUUCGAGUUUUUAAAUAUGUCAAUCUAAUUAAUAAACAUCUUUAUUAGGACUAAAUUCAUUUACUCAAACAUUGUAUUUAAUACUAUUUUAUAAAAGUAUUAAUUAAUGAUAACAUGUAAGGAUAGGUGGUUUAGCUCAUUUUCAGUGAUCGCAAAGCUUUGCAUUCAGGAGUAAACAACUUCACGUGCCUUCCUCCUUACUCACAAGGAAACAAAACUCUACCAGUUACCUUACCAGAUGCAACUCUUUCUCUUUGUCUCACCUUAGACAUCGAUGUAUCCCAAAUUUGUGCCCACCAUUUCGUCCCGAUCAUUCACUUCUAUGAUUUAUUUCGAGCAUUCACGAAGCUAAGAAUCUUGCUGCAUCGUGUUUUCAUAGCAUAAUAACUAGUUGCAUAAAACUAUAUCGAAAUCUGCUUGCUGAUACGAAAUUUAACCAUUUUAACCGAUGGUUAGAAUACAGUUGAUGUUCCCAUAGGAAACGUAUAUACCAAGGUAGACAAAUGGUGCCAUUUAGCCUGCUAGUCUUGCUCAGACAAAGUCCAACUCAAAGUUUUCUCUCUUAACUAUUAAGUGGUCCUCUUGAAGGUCACAGAAUCUUAUCCUUCCCUUACAAGCCAAAACGAGGCUGAAAGGGAUUGUUUAGCUUUCUCGUCUCCUUCCUUUCUCUGCCACUAAAAGCUAACCGAACUGGACACCAAACCGACCAACCAGACCGGAUAUAAGUUAGGCUGAAUCUUCUUCCAUAUCUAUAUAUUACAUUAAGUUGGUGUCAACCUAUAUACAGAAGAAAACCAAGUCCCAUCCUCCCCAAAGUUGCCCUAUCUUGAUUGAGUUUCAAAAGGAAAUCUAGAAGGGCAAAAAAGUCUAAAGGGAGGACAAAAAGGAUGAGUUUUAAAGAAGAGAUAAGAGGGCCUCAAUCAUGACUUGCUUGUUUGUCUGUUUAGCAAGAGAUUUGCAUAGGUUAUAACUGUAUAUAAGACCCUAGGUUUCAUUUCGGUCAGGGACGGAGUGGGCGAAUUGAGCUACUGCUAGUGCUUGCUUGCAGCCCAAGAUUCCUCAGAUGCAGCAGUUCUGCCUGAGGGAAUGAGCCAUUGGAUGGCACAUCCAGCAGUAAGUCUCCUUCGUCGUCGAUGAAAUUGAGAGAGUCCUCGAAGCCUCCCUCGGGAGGCAAUGCGAACAGGCUCUUCGGACUGAAGUAGGAUGCCUCGUUUUCUGUGAGCUCGUUGUUCCCGUACGUAAUGCUCCUCUUAGGGCUUCUAAUCAUCUUCAUUUCUGCACAAGAGAGAGAGAACACACUCACAUGAUGAAUUUGUCUCCAUUUUCGUUUCGUGCAUCGAAAAUGAGAUGAAUGAGAUAUCUAAUUAACCUGGAAUCCUCUGACUCGAGCUCGAGAAAUUCGAAGCCACAUGGUUUCCCUUCACAGCAGGAGACUUCCCUCCAUUGCUUCUGCAUUUCUGUAGCGCACGAAAGCAGACCGAAACGAAUCAAAUAUAACACACACACACCACUCUUUGUGUGUAGUUAUGCCGGUAAGUUAAAGUGUCGGUCUGAACCUUGAGUAGAUUAUAGUGCUCGACCCAUUUAGACUUCGAGAAGUUCGAUAACGUAAGCCUCUUUAGAGUCUUGCAAUCUUCAGACUUGGCUCCAGGAAAUGAUAGAUCAAAGACUCCUUCUGCCAUUAGCUGUUGAUAGGAAGACAAGUUCUCCUUGUACUGAGGACUAUCAAACAUGGCUCUGAUGCUGCUAGAUAUAACAAGAACAACUAGUCAAUUAUCGAUACUAAAUCACGAAAAUUCACCAAUUUUUCGAGUCGGUACAGUCAUCGAACCUUUCAGGAACUCUGCCGGAGUCGACUGAAGGCAGAUAUUUCAGCAACUGCUGCUGCUCUUCGUUCGUCAACUGUUUCGCAAACUCCUCAAAAUUGAUGACACACUACACGAAACAGCAUUGUUAUGCAUCCCCCACAUUUCUAACAUUGUACGUAGUUCGGAUAUCGUAUUGAUAAAACCGUCUCAACGCGAAGUAAAACUUACAUUCAGAUCAAUGUUACACAGAGGUGACUUAUGACUGCCAAGAACCUGCACCUUGUCGUGUUGAGACUUGUCCCUGAAAUCGAAAAACUCAGAGAAGUCAAACCAUUUGCAAAGCAAAUAUCGCUAAGAUCGCUUAUUCGAGCACCUACCGGUUGAGAUUUGGUCCAGGACGGUUCUGAGCUUUUGCGAUAGCAGAACCAGGAGUCUUGAUGAUGACCGAGCGGGAGUAAGCUUCAUUAGCCGAAUGGCUAUACUUGUUGUGAACAGAAAGGGAACUGGCCUCCGACUCCUCAUCACGAGCUAUUGCACUCGGAUGCUUGAUGAGGACACUUCCAUGCCCUAUCUCGACGGAGACCAUUGGCGUUUCGCUCUCGAAAAGCAAAUCAUCCUCUUCAGAAAGGCCGGAGAAGCAAGAAGACUGCUGCUCGUGCCAUAUCGUGUAGAGAUCCUUCGUCAGCUUCUCCACUGAGGACUGUUUUGGACGGUUGACACAGGUUCUCUUUCGAGAUGGCACCGUCGAGUCCCAGACCACUGUUUGACCAGAGCCUGUGCCCAAAACACAGUCAGUGUAAGAUUUCUAACUAACAAUGCAGCUACUUAAGCUUAUGUUUGAAUGCUAUAGGCCACAUCUAAUCAAAUUCAGUCGAAAACGUGUUCCAAACCUGUCAAUUCACUAGCAUCGAUGCUGCCGAACUGUGCACAGCUCUCGGAAUUGGAAAUGGCUGAUCCGGAACUCGACCUAUUACUAACAUCUUCAUCGAAAGCCUUUCGGCUAUUCUGGACGUAAUCCGGAACUGUUACAAACCCUCCGACAGCCACAUCAGCCUCGACGAUAGCCUUCCUCUUCACGCGACCGUAAUCGACAGGGUCUGGCCGAGAAUGAAGAGGUGUGUAGUUCACUAGCGUUCCCUUCGUGCGCCACCUAGACCCACACGCAUUGCACAGAACCGGCUUCUCGGGGGGUCCGUUUCUCCAGAGUGGCGUGCCUAAAUCAAAAUCAAGGUUACACACAAGUUUAGUAUACACAAACCAAAAUCGGAUGCCAAUUCGACGAAUUAUAGCUCAUAGACUAGCAAUGUAGCCUUGAAGCUAAAUAAUGCAAAGCACAAGCUUUUGUAACUCUAUGCACCACCUAAAACUAACACAAAUAAGUACUCAUCAUGGACCGAAAUCAAAGAACUUAGCAUCGCAAUCGAUAGUGCCACGAUUCGACUAGCAAAUGUAGCAAUACCUUGAGCUAAAGUAAUG
rnacentral:lncRNA from 1 species